ensembl:lncRNA
GGAAAUAGACGAGCAGUUGGCGAUGCGCGGUGUUGGAGCUGUAUAAUUACACUGCUGUGAAGGGAGAUGUGCAUUGCUGUUGUGUUGCUGAUCAUCGCGCAGAUCUUCACGGAAUACUUGGGAAUAUUCAGAAAGAUUGUGUGUGUUCGCGUAUGCUGAAAAACUGCCGGACUUAACUAAGCUGUUACUUCUUAAAUCAUAGAGUUGCGACCUUCAGUACCUAUCCUGUGUCUUUUAAGGACUUCCUCAGCCAGGGAACACAUUCGUUGGUUUAAGAGUAACUGUAAAGAGUCUGCAAGAGCUUCCAUCAUCCAUCGAUAGAAGAAUUAAACUUUGCUGCACUCCAGCUAGCUAGGGAAGCAUGCGGGUUGGUUGGCUGUCCUGGCUGGAUUCUUCUGAAGAGCUUCCUUCCAUGCUUCAUGUUCUUCCCUUGUUUGAGUAACUGUGAAGGAGAGGAAUGGGAUGAGAUGCCUCCAAUAUGAAUUUGAUAAUUCUUCUACUUUCCUGUUAGGUUUGAGAGCAGAGCCUUGUGGCUCUGAUCAAAAUGUAUGGCAAACACUUCAUAGGCAGUCCUUGUCCAGAGAGCCUGGCCAUGCAUGCAGAGGGAGGACUGGAGGGGGGAGAGGUACAGUCAGGAGACGUGUCGUGGGGUGCAGCAGGAGAAGGAUGGAGCCAUUGCUGCCAAGUCGGGGCAGUUUUUCAGUUGGCACAAAAAAAUCAGUAAUUUUAACUGAGUAAAUACUAAUUUUGUUUCCAGGACAAAAAGAAUAGUUAGUGUGAAGAAUGUGUAAAUUUCCCGUGUAUUUCUAGUGAAUAUUUAAUAUAAUGCAAUUAGAGGCUGGCUAAGAAUUAUACAGCUUUUAAAAACCAACAAAUAAAUGGACUCCUGUUUUCAUGAUG